rnacentral:rRNA from 1 species
AACGAACGCUGGCGGCAGGCCUAACACAUGCAAGUCGAGCGCCCCGCAAGGGGAGCGGCGGACGGGUGAGUAACACGUGGGAAUUUCCUCAAGGUACGGAACAACUCAGGGAAACUUGGGCUAAUACCGUAUGAUGCAGAGAUGCCAAAGAUUUAUCGCCUUGGGAUAAGCCCGCGUCAGAUUAGGUAGUUGGUGGGGUAAUGGCCUACCAAGCCUGUGAUCUGUAGCUGGUCUGAGAGGACGAUCAGCCACAUUGGGACUGAGACACGGCCCAAACUCCUACGGGAGGCAGCAGUGGGGAAUCUUGCGCAAUGGACGAAAGUCUGACGCAGCCAUGCCGCGUGAAUGAUGAAGGUCUUAGGAUUGUAAAGUUCUUUAGCCUGUGACGAUGAUGACGGUAACAGGAGAAUAAGCCCCG